CACGAUAGAGCGCUUUGGUGACGUGGCCCCAAAUCGCAUCCACGUAAGUGCGAUUUGUUGCCACGUCACCAAAGCGCUCUGACGUGG
rfam:Gossypium raimondii Chr08_contig_1245, whole genome shotgun sequence.